UACGGAGGUGGCAAGCGUUGUUCGGAUUUAUUGGGUGUAAAGGGUAUGUAGGUGUCCUGAAAAGUCUUUCUUUAAAAACACUGGCUCAACCAGUGAUCUGGGAAAGAAACUCUUGGGAUUGAGUAUUGGAGAGGAAAGCGGAAUUCCCGGUGUAAGGGUGAAAUCUGUAGAUAUCGGGAGGAACACCAAUGGCGAAAGCAGCUUUCUGGCCAGAUACUGACACUGAAAUACGAAAGCUAGGGGAGCAAACAGG
rnacentral:rRNA from 1 species